UAUUAAAAAUUUUAUCUAUUUAUACAGUUAAAAACUAGCGCGGCUGACGGAAUAACUAGACAUUGAUAUGUGUCGCACUACAUAUAUCUCAUACUAACGUAUAAAGACCAGUUUUUAAUAAUAAAAAUAAAUAAAAUUUUUAACG
rfam:Gossypium hirsutum cultivar TM-1 chromosome 19, whole genome shotgun sequence